rnacentral:rRNA from 1 species
UACGGAAGGCAGCAGUGGGGAAUAUUGCACAAUGGGCGAAAGCCUGAUGCAGCUAUGCCGCGUGUAUGAAGAAGGCCUUAGGGUUGUAAAGUACUUUCAUCGGGGAGGAAAAAACAAAACUAAUAAUUUUAUUUCUUGACGUUACCCGAAAAAGAAGCACCGGCUAACUCCGUGCCAGCAGCCGCGGUAAUACGGAGGGUGCUAGCGUUAAUCAGAAUUACUGGGCGUAAAGAGCACGUAGGUGGUUUUUUUAAGUCAGAUGUGAAAUCCCUGGGCUUAACCUAGGAACUGCAUUUUGAAACUGAAAUACUAGAGUAUCGUAGAGGGAGGUAGAAUUCUAGGUGUAGCGGUGAAAUGCGUAGAUAUCUGGAGGAAUACCUGUGGCGAAAGCGGCCUCCUAAACGAAUACUGACACUGAGUGCGAAAGCGU